rnacentral:rRNA from 1 species
GACGAACGCUGGCGGCGUGCCUAAUACAUGCAAGUUGAGCGCUGAAGGUUGGUACUUGUACCAACUGGAUGAGCAGCGAACGGGUGAGUAACGCGUGGGGAAUCUGCCUUUGAGCGGGGGACAACAUUUGGAAACGAAUGCUAAUACCGCAUAAAAACUUUAAACACAAGUUUUAAGUUUGAAAGAUGCAAUUGCAUCACUCAAAGAUGAUCCCGCGUUGUAUUAGCUAGUUGGUGAGGUAAAGGCUCACCAAGGCGAUGAUACAUAGCCGACCUGAGAGGGUGAUCGGCCACAUUGGGACUGAGACACGGCCCAAACUCCUACGGGAGGCAGCAGUAGGGAAUCUUCGGCAAUGGACGAAAGUCUGACCGAGCAACGCCGCGUGAGUGAAGAAGGUUUUCGGAUCGUAAAACUCUGUUGGUAGAGAAGAACGUUGGCGAGAGUGGAAAGCUCAUCAAGCGACGGUAACUACCCAGAAAGGGACGGCUAACUACGUG